UAGAGUUUGAUCAUGGCUCAGGAUGAACGCUAGCGGCAGGCUUAACACAUGCAAGUCGAAGGGCAUCGCGGGGAGUGCUUGCACUCCCUGGCGGCGACUGGCGCACGGGUGAGUAACACGUAUGCAACCUGCCCUCCACAGGGGGACAACCUUCCGAAAGGGAGGCUAAUCCCGCGUAAAUCUCGAUGGGGCAUCCCAUUGAGAGGAAAGCUUCGGCGGUGGAGGAUGGGCAUGCGGCGCAUUAGCUAGUCGGCGGGGUAACGGCCCACCGAGGCGACGAUGCGUAGGGGUUCUGAGAGGAAGGUCCCCCACACUGGUACUGAGACACGGACCAGACUCCUACGGGAGGCAGCAGUGAGGAAUAUUGGUCAAUGGGCGGGAGCCUGAACCAGCCAAGUCGCGUGAGGGAUGACGGUCCUACGGAUUGUAAACCUCUUUUGCCGGGGAGCAAGCGUGCGUUCGUGAACGCGCGUCGAGAGUACCCGGAGAAAAAGCAUCGGCUAACUCCGUGCCAGCAGCCGCGGUAAUACGGAGGAUGCGAGCGUUAUCCGGAUUUAUUGGGUUUAAAGGGUGCGUAGGCGGGAUGCCAAGUCAGCGGUAAAAAAGCGGUGCUCAACGCCGUCGAGCCGUUGAAACUGGCGUUCUUGAGUGGGCGAGAAGUAUGCGGAAUGCGUGGUGUAGCGGUGAAAUGCAUAGAUAUCACGCAGAACUCCGAUUGCGAAGGCAGCAUACCGGCGCCCUACUGACGCUGAGGCACGAAAGUGUGGGUAUCGAACAGGAUUAGAUACCCUGGUAGUCCACACAGUAAACGAUGAAUACUAAUUGUUCGGGGAGAAUGAUCCCUGAGUGAUACAGCGAAAGCGUUAAGUAUUCCACCUGGGGAGUACGCCGGCAACGGUGAAACUCAAAGGAAUUGACGGGGGCCCGCACAAGCGGAGGAACAUGUGGUUUAAUUCGAUGAUACGCGAGGAACCUUACCCGGGCUCAAACGACACAGGAAUACUUUUGAAAGGAGGUAGCUCUACGGAGUCUGUGUCGAGGUGCUGCAUGGUUGUCGUCAGCUCGUGCCGUGAGGUGUCGGCUUAAGUGCCAUAACGAGCGCAACCCCCAUCGCCAGUUACCAGCAAGUCAAGUUGGGGACUCUGGCGAGACUGCCGGCGCAAGCUGUGAGGAAGGCGGGGAUGACGUCAAAUCAGCACGGCCCUUACGUCCGGGGCGACACACGUGUUACAAUGGCAGGUACAGAGAGAAGCAAUGCGGCGACGCAAAGCGGAACUUGAAAGCCUGUCUCAGUUCGGAUUGGAGUCUGCAACUCGACUCCAUGAAGCUGGAUUCGCUAGUAAUCGCGCAUCAGCCAUGGCGCGGUGAAUACGUUCCCGGGCCUUGUACACACCGCCCGUCAAGCCAUGGAAGCCGGGAGUGCCUGAAGUGAGCAACCGCAAGGAGCGCCCUAAGGUAAAACUGGUGACUGGGGCUAAGUCGUAACAAGGUAGCCGUA
rnacentral:rRNA from 1 species